rnacentral:rRNA from 1 species
AGUGAACGCUGGCGGUAGGCCUAACACAUGCAAGUCGAACGGCAGCACAGUAAGAGCUUGCUCUUACGGGUGGCGAGUGGCGGACGGGUGAGGAAUACAUCGGAAUCUACUUUUUCGUGGGGGAUAACGUAGGGAAACUUACGCUAAUACCGCAUACGACCUACGGGUGAAAGCAGGGGAUCUUCGGACCUUGCGCGAUUGAAUGAGCCGAUGUCGGAUUAGCUAGUUGGCGGGGUAAAGGCCCACCAAGGCGACGAUCCGUAGCUGGUCUGAGAGGAUGAUCGGCCACACUGGAACUGAGACACGGUCCAGGCGCCUACGGGAGGCAGCAGUGGGGAAUAUUGGACAAUGGGCGCAAGCCUGGUCCAGCCAUACCGCGUGGGUGAAGAAGGCCUUCGGGUUGUAAAGCCCUUUUGUUGGGAAAGAAAAGCAGCAGGUUAAUACCCCGCUGUUCUGACGGUACCCAAAGAAUAAGCACCGGCUAACUUCGUG